UUUUUAUGUUUUGCCCCCAAUAUGUUAUUGUUUUAGGUAUUUUUAUUAAUUUUGAUUUGUAGUUUGAGCAUUAGUCUAUUUUGUUUGUUUUUUUUUUGUGGUGUCUUUUUUUUUAUAUGAACAAGCUAGCAUCAUGCCAAAUUAAGUCCAAUGUUUUGGUCCCAUCAAAAAAAAAAUCUAAUAUUUUGGACUCUUGAGCCAUUAGACCUUAAUG
rnacentral:lncRNA from 1 species